CAAGACCCCCACAGUUUUCUCCUCGUCGCUCGGGCUGCUUCUACUAAACUGGAACACCGUCAGAAUCGAUCCGGGAAUACGCUGUUGUCCGUUGAAGUGUUGAGGCGUUAUGUGGCUGACACGAUGAGAUGCGAGUAGAUUGCUCGUCUCUGGCAGACGACAAGACAGCCCCCUGGCUCUACAGGGAUGUAGAAAUGCGUGCCAUGAGACAACAAAGGACGAGGGCCUUGCAGGGGAGCUGGGAAGCAUUGUGACAAAAAGGCAACAAUUCUGUGUGCCACGGAGAGCUGGCAAGAUGGGCAGGUGAUGCUAGUAUAACACCAUUUAUGCCACUAACAAGCCGUUUUUGGUCAUUGCUUUCCUUCGUGAAUUCCAGCGAAAAUUAGUCCCAUCAAAAACUCGCCUAAGGGAAGAAGAGUCCAUUUACUGAUUGGAAGCAAACCAAAGGAAGCCAGAUCGUUUCCGGGGGCAC
rnacentral:lncRNA from 1 species